rnacentral:rRNA from 1 species
GACGAACGCUGGCGGCGUGCCUAAUACAUGCAAGUCGAACGCAGUGGGGACGGGUGAGUAACACGUGGGUAACCUCCCAUCAGAGGGGAUAACACGUGGAAACAGGUGCUAAAACCGAUACUGAUGGAUGGACCCGCUGGGCCUUAGCUAGUUGGAGAGGUAACGGCUCACCAAGGCCACGAUGCAUAGCCUACCUGGGAGGGUGUCCGGCAACACUGGGACUGAGACACGGCCCAUACUCCUACGGGAGGCAGCAGGAGGGAAUCUGCGACAAUGGGCGAAAGUCUGAUCGAGUAACGCCGCGUGAGUGAAGAAGGUUUUCGGAUCGUAAAGCUCUGUUGUUAGAGAAGCGGUAUCUAACCAGAAAGCCACGGCUAACUACGUGCCAGCAGCCGCGGUAAUUC